UACGGAGGGUGCGAGCGUUGUCCGGAAUCACUGGGCGUAAAGGGUGCGUAGGCGGGCAGGUAAGUCAGAGGUGAAAUCUCCGGCUUAACCCGGAAACUGCCUUUGAUACUAUCUGUCUUGAAUAUGGUGGAGGUAAGCGGAAUAUGUCAUGUAGCGGUGAAAUGCUUAGAGAUGACAUAGAACACCUAUUGCGAAGGCAGCUUACUACGCCUAUAUUGACGCUGAGGCACGAAAGCGUGGGGAGUCAAACAGGA
rnacentral:rRNA from 1 species